rnacentral:rRNA from 1 species
UACGGAGGAUCCAAGCGUUGUCCGGAUUUAUUGGGUUUAAAGGGUGCGUAGGCGGAUAAUUAAGUCAGUGGUGAAAUCUUGCGGCUCAACCGUAAAAUUGCCAUUGAAACUGAUUAUCUUGAGUACAGUUGAGGUGGGCGGAAUGUAUCAUGUAGCGGUGAAAUGCUUAGAUAUGAUACAGAACACCUAUUGCGAAAGCAGCUCACUAAACUGCAACUGACGCUGAGGCACGAAAGCGUGGGGAGCAAACAGG